GGAAGGAUCAUUAUUGAAAUAAACCUGAUGGGUUGCUGCUGGUUCUCUAGGGAGCAUGUGCACACUUGUCAUCUUUAUAUCUCCACCUGUGCACCUUUUGUAGACCUGAAUCCCUUUCUGAAUGCCUGGCAUUUGGGGUUGAGGAUUGACUUUUGUCUUUCCUUGCAUUUUCAGGUCUAUGUUAUUCAUAUACCCCAAUGUAUGUUAUAGAAUGUAAUCAUGGGCCUUUGUGCCUAUAAACCUAUACAACUUUCAGCAACGGAUCUCUUGGCUCUCGCAUCGAUGAAGAACGCAGCGAAAUGCGAUAAGUAAUGUGAAUUGCAGAAUUCAGUGAAUCAUCGAAUCUUUGAACGCACCUUGCGCUCCUUGGUAUUCCGAGGAGCAUGCCUGUUUGAGUGUCAUUAAUAUAUCAACCUCUCUAGGCUUUUGGCUUGUUGAGUGUUGGAUGUGGGGGUUUUUGUGCUGGCCUCUUUGUUCAGAGGUCAGCUCCCCUAAAAUGCAUUAGCGGAACAAUUUGUUGACCGUUCAUUGGUGUGAUAACUAUCUACGCUAUUGACGUGAAGCAGGUUCAGCUUCUAACCGUCCAUUGACUUGGACAAAUUAUCAUUAAUGUGACCUCAAAUCAGGUAGGACUACCCGCUGAACUUAAGCAUAUCAAUAAGCGGAGGAAAAGAAACUAACAAGGAUUCCCCUAGUAACUGCGAGUGAAGCGGGAAAAGCUCAAAUUUAAAAUCUG
rnacentral:rRNA from 1 species